rnacentral:tRNA from 1 species
GGACUCGUAGCUCAGUUGGCUAGAGCGUUGGCUAUACUUAAGUCUUCUCGUUGCUGGCGUAGGUUCGAAUCCCACCGAGGCCA